GUUGAAAAGCUAACCAUCCGUAGCCUCUGGGAUUCAGACACAGAGGAUGAGCGGCAUUUUCCCCACUGGUUUUUAAGAGGCUUCAGUGGGAAGCUCAGGUCACCAGGCCUUGUCUGGGGCUGGAAGGAAGAAGUAAAAGCUGCAGCCUGUGCCAGCUGGGCCGGGCCUGAGGAGAAGCGAGUGCUGGCGCCGGCCGUGGGCCCUGGCUGCGGGCAGCUGGAGCCUGUGGCUGCUGGAUGCCUCUUAACAUAUCCCAGUGCCCUCAAGACAAGACAUUCAAUUUGGUCACACUGCCAUCCAGCAACUCACCCUCCUGAGACUCACUGCUGCAGGCAGGCUUGCACCUGAAACCUGAACUGCAUCUGGCACCGAGAUGGCUGCACGGAGUUGCUCUCCUUUCUCCUGAGGUUGGCUGCAACCAUCGGUUUGCAUGUGGGGAAAAGCAUUCGCUUAACAAGCGAGUUGUCAUCUCUCCAGACACAGGAUAAGAAUGAAUGAACUGAAGAAGAGCCAGGUUAGAGCCUGGGGAACAUUUUCUGAUGCAGGGUGCAUGAGGCAGUAGCCCUGGCUGCCCAGGAAUGCACGUGUGAGAAGAGGUGAGGCACACAUCUGGGCAGGGCAGCACAAGCCACAGGGUCCAGUGGCACUCUUGGGGCUCAGCUUUACUAUUUCUUUGCUGCAGUUUCAGCUUGACACUUAAAGGUUUCAGCAAGGUGCUAUCAUUCCUGGAUCUCAUCCAGUCAUGCGAACAAGCAAGCCUUCACUCAGGAUUAUCAACAAGAAAUUCCUUCCUAGGAUAAAUGAAUGGCUGAUGAUGAUGAACAGAUACAGCCUCCCAUUGUUUUGUG
rnacentral:lncRNA from 1 species